rnacentral:rRNA from 1 species
UACGUAGGGUGCAAGCGUUAAUCGGAAUUACUGGGCGUAAAGCGUGCGCAGGCGGCUUUGCAAGACAGAUGUGAAAUCCCCGGGCUCAACCUGGGAACUGCAUUUGUGACUGCAUCGCUCGAGUGUGGCAGAGGGGGAUGGAAUUCCGCGUGUAGCAGUGAAAUGCGUAGAUAUGUGGAGGAACACCGAUGGCGAAGGCAGCCCCCUGGGUCAACACUGACGCUCAUGCACGAAAGCGUGGGGAGCAAACAGG